UACAGUCAUUAAGCGGGGGACUUCCUGAGUCGCUCAUCAAGGCUGAUGCUCAGGCUUUAGCCUGCACUGCUAGCAUGUGGCUGUGUCACCCACUGAAGCAGAUGGCACAGGACGAGGACUGAAACGGGAAACCCGACCCAUGCGGGGCAUUGCCCGUUACAUUACAGAGCAAGGAGUUCCAGCAGAGACUUCCUAGAGCCAAGUCUGGCACAGACGUCGCUUCUCCAUGCAGAGUUCCCUACACCCCAGGUCGAUGUAGCCUUUUGUAGCUUGGAUCUCAGGACACCGCUCCACGUUACUCCUGUGGUGGCAAUCACACAUUGCUUUAUCACUUUUCAACACUGAGCAAUGAAUGUGAGCAGGCUGACAAAGGUGGUGCGCAGUGCAGGAGCUGAAGAAACAUCACGAUUAGAAGGAUGGCUGGUUCUUGGACCUGUGUGCAGUUCUCACUGGACCCCAUUGAGCUCUCUGUUUCCAUGGGGAUUCCAUCACCUCUUCUGCCUGGAAUCAUGUUAGAACCAAACUCCUGUUAUUUCUCACUUUGUGUUGAGGAAACGAGGCUUACAGAGGUGGAGGAGGUUGCCUCAGGCCCUAACACGAAUGGUGGAGCUGGAACUGGAACCAGGGGCAGUAAGGCUGGCACAGGGGUGUUUCUGCAAAUCACCAACGCUGUGUGCUUGGGGGAAAUGGAAGAAAAAGGGAACAAAAGAGCAGCAGGAGAACAAAUUCAUCUCGUCAGUAGGAUAAUACUUCCGUCCUCAUGUGGAAAUUGAACACAGAAACAUUUUCCACCAGCUCCCAAAAUCCCCUCCAAGUAGUUGCCAUCAGUACCUAGACUGUGGGGGAACUCAGGGGAACACGGCCCCACAUCCCUGUAGGAUGAGCCUCGUUUGAAAGUCCUGAAAUCAAGGACCUUGUAGAGCAAACAGGGCUCCCUAUCUGACGCACUGGAAGCCAAUACUAUGACACUGGAUUUUUGAGAAAAGAAAAGUUUGCUGUUGAAAAUCGACUCCCAGGGAGACAGGAAUCCACUCAGAUCUGUCUUCCUGUGCUGGCUUCACGGCAGUGAGUUUAUUAGAAAAGGCUCGGGAGCUGGAUCCUGGGAUUAGCAGGUGACUGGUGGCAAGUCCCUGGGCCUGGCCCGUAGCUCUUCACGCUGCCUCAAGGGUGGCACGUGCAAACUCGAGGGUGUGAGCAUGAAGCCUGUGGUGGAAAUUCAGGCUGUGACAUCAGCAAGUACAUUCCCUGCGGACUCCAGUGGGUCGUUUGGUUCUAGCUGAUUUCGGCUACUUCUUUCAUUGCAUACGUGGAGGGAGUGGCCGCGUUUCAGUAAGUUGUUUCCUUUUUUAUCUGCCAUCCCAUAAACUCAAGAAGUUCUUCUAGUUGUUGGUUUCUUUAACUCUUUGGGGCAGGGUUUCAAACGGAUAGCCUUUGAAAGUCAGACUCAAGGACGUACUGACACUGGGCCUGAAAAGCUUUAGGCCGCGUCAACCUAAGAGGCACACAGGCUCCGGGAUGUGUGAGGUCCAGGCUAGGCCGUCACCUAACCGAGCGCACUGGAGUGACCCCGGAGCACAGGCUCACCUGGAGGGAAGGACUCAGGGAAGGACGGAAAGGGUGGGGGUGAGGAGGCUCUUCUGAGCCUGCCCUGGCAGGGGCGCCACCCAGGCACAGCUCUGCUGUAAAGGUCAAUGCUGCCCAGCCUGACAUCACUGUCACCCAACCCUCAGGCAAAUUAAUUGCAAGUAUGUGCCAACAUUUUACGUCCAACUUGCUGAUCAUUUUUUUUUUAAUGGUUCAAGAUGUUUCUUUUUGGAAGAGUAUUUGUUUUUGUCUUUUUGGAGAGACUUGGGGGAGGAUGUGGCAGGAUGACAUUGUUAGAAUAAGCACAAAAAAAGGACUUCUGGCCACAGUCGACUGCCAGGGAUG